UCGGACGAUUUUGCUGGCGGCGGCGGCGGCGGCGGCCUCGCGAGAAGCGACGCCGGAUCGGAAGAGCUUCGACACUUUCGCGUUGAACUGCAGUUGCGGCCUCGAGUGCACAAGAAUCAGGAAUGAAGGUCAACGCAGAUGCAGAUUCGCGUGUUAAUGAAAAAAGAAAAAAAAAUGUACGUUAUACCGGCGAUACCUCCACACACAUUGAGCGCAAAAACGUAGACGAUUGAUCGGUGACCGCGCGUUCUUGACCUAAUUACCGAAAAUUCAAACCGGCAUAAUUUCGCGAGUUUGUUUUCUACCCUGCGCGCGUAGCCGCGGCUACGCGAGGAGAGCGGACGUCGAGGCGAAAUAUCGCGCGCUCGAAGAGAUAUCAAGAUCACUGUGUCGUACAUUUCUGAUGUCGAAACGUGAAGUCGGCAAAAUUACACCGGUAUCAAUUGCUGCCUGUGGCUA